UUUUGAAAAAAAAAACUAUCAAUAAAUUUAUUCAAAACCGAAUCAAAUAACAUUGACUAGAAAUCAAACAGAGACUAGAAACUGAAUCGAAACAGAAAUCAAUACUAAGGUUGACCCUCCGAAACUGGCUAUUGCACCGUAACCAGCGGUCUGGUAGCCACACCGAGCGAAGACAGGAUGGCAAAACCUGAUGCUGCCCAUUAGUACCAUUCCCAAGUUCUUGAAAGCUAUUUCCCAUGGCAACCAAUCACUCACCACAAUCUCCAUGCAAGUAUAAAUUGCAAAUAAGCGAAAGUCUUCAUUGUAUCUUAACAGUAAUUAGUUUUUGACUUCAACGGGUUAUCACUCAGCAAGACCAAUAUUCAAUGUACAUAAACAGAGGUUUAGAGAAAAUGAGAGAAAUCACGGCAUUCCUAUAUUACAAGUAAUUUCCAAUUCAUGUAAAACAGUAACCAAAAGAAUAAUAAUUUCUUCAGGAUUAGGUGGAGAACCACCACCACUAAAGUUAGGAUAUGAAAAUGUGGCAUUUAUAUGAGAGGAAUUCGCAUCAGCAACAACUGCUCGUUGAUGCAUCAGUUUGUGGCGGCUUCUCUUUAAAGAUGUUCGUUUUUAAGCCCUUGGAGCCCUCAGCUAAGAGGCUAGGCGUAUCCAAAAUCUUUAAAACAAGCUCUUCAAAACACUGCUGCACGUUAACGCGAGUUUUAGCACUGCAUUCAAUAAAAAGGCAUCCAUAUUCCCUGGCAAAAUUUAUGCCUUCUUUUUUCGUUACAACCCGUUCACUGUCCUUGUCAACCUUGUUUCCAACAAGCAUCUUGAUGCAGUCUUGAUUUGUUGAAUAUAGGUCAAUUUCCUUCGCCCAUACAUCAGAAAGGUUAGUGAAUGUGUCUCGCCUUGUUACAUCAUAGACCAUGAUAAUCCCUUGGGCACCUCUGUAAUAUGAACUUGUCAGUGUUCUAAAUCUCUCUUGACCAGCUGUAUCCCAAAUUGCAAGUUUGAGCUUUUUGCCCCCAAUAUUGACAUAUUUUACUUUAAAAUCAACACCGAUAGUAGGAGAGAGAUCUUCAAAGGUAUCAGAAGUGAAGCUCAAAAGAAGGCUACUCUUUCCAACACCUGAAUCCCCAAUCAUCAACAACUUGAACAAGUAAUCAAACUCUGGCUGACUCGAACUCGAAUCCAUUCAAAUAAUUCUCUCAACCAGCUAAAGCCAAAAUGGGGCGUAAUUCACCCCCAAAAAAAAACCUUAAAUUUGAUGGAAUUGAUGGAUCGUAACAAUUGAUGAUACGAGUGAUGAAAAUCUGGAAACGAAGAGGGACAGAGAGCACAUAACCCAAUCACGAACGCUGCAUUUGGAAGGGAAAGACCACUGUUAAAUGUUAAUCGGGUACAAAAAAGGAAUUUUGCGGAACAACAUUUUUCUCCCCUAAAACGCUG
rnacentral:misc_RNA from 1 species